rnacentral:rRNA from 1 species
GCACAAGCAGCGGAGCGUGUGGUUUAAUUCGAUGCUACACGAAGAACCUUACCAGGGUUUGACAUACAAGUAGUAGGGAAAGGAAACUGGACCGACCCUUCGGGGAGCUUGAACAGGUGCUGCAUGGCUGUCGUCAGCUCGUGUCGUGAGAUGUUCGGUUAAGUCCGCUAACGAGCGCAACCCUCGCUGUGUGUUACAAGUGUCACACGGAACUGCCGGUCAUAAACCGGAGGAAGGUGGGGAUGACGUCAAGUCAGCAUGGCCUUUAUAUCCUGGGCUACACACACGCUACAAUGGGAAGGGACAAUAGGCUGCGAAACCGCGAGGUGGAGCCAAUCCAGCAAAACUUCCCUCAGUUCAGAUUGCAGGCUGCAACUCGCCUGCAUGAAGUUGGAGUUGCUAGUAAACGCAGGUCAGCCAUACUGCGUUGAAUACGUCCCCGGGGCUU